GUGCUUGCUUCGGCAACACAUAUACUAAAAUUGGAACGAUACGGAAAAGAUUAGCAUGGCCCCUGCACAGGGAUGACAGGCAAAUUCGUGAAGCGUUCCACAUAAAA
rnacentral:snRNA from 1 species